rnacentral:rRNA from 1 species
CCAGACUCCUACGGGAGGCAGCAGUGGGGAAUAUUGCACAAUGGGGGAAACCCUGAUGCAGCGACGCCGCGUGAGUGAAGAAGUAUUUCGGUAUGUAAAGCUCUAUCAGCAGGGAAGAUAAUGACGGUACCUGAGUAAGAAGCCCCGGCUAACUACGUGCCAGCAGCCGCGGUAAUACGUAGGGGGCAAGCGUUAUCCGGAUUUACUGGGUGUAAAGGGAGCGUAGACGGCAUGGCAAGUCUGAAGUGAAAGCCCGGGGCUCAACCGCGGGACUGCUUUGGAAACUGUUAAGCUGGAGUGCAGGAGAGGUAAGUGGAAUUCCUAGUGUAGCGGUGAAAUGCGUAGAUAUUAGGAGGAACACCAGUGGCGAAGGCGGCCUGCUGGACAGAAACUGACGUUGAGGCUCGAAAGCGUGGGGAGCAAACAGGAUUAGAUACCCGCGUAA